AUUGAACGCUGGCGGCAUGCCUAACACAUGCAAGUCGAACGGCAGCGCGGGGGCAACCCUGGCGGCGAGUGGCGGACGGGUGAGGAAUGCAUAGGAAUCUGCCCGGUUGUGGGGGAUAACGUAGGGAAACUUACGCUAAUACCGCAUACGACCUUCGGGUGAAAGUGGGGGACCUUCGGGCCUCACGCGAUCGGAUGAGCCUAUGCCCGAUUAGCUAGUUGGCGGGGUAAGAGCCCUCCAAGGCGACGAUCGGUAGCUGGUCUGAGAGGAUGAUCAGCCACACGAGGACUGGGACGCGGCCCAGGCGACUGCGGGAGGCAGCAGAGGGGAAUAUGGGACAAUGGGGGGAAGCCUGAUCCAGCAAGGGCGCGUGUGUGAAGAAGGCCUUCGGGGUGUAAAGCACGUUUGUUCGGGAAGAAAUCCGUGUGGUUAAGACCCGGACGGGAUGACGGUACCGAAAGAAUAAGCACCGGCUAACUUCGUG
rnacentral:rRNA from 1 species